GUAUAGUGUGAGGGUGUAGAGCCAGAGUAAUAGCCGAUCAUCACUCGAUUCGCAAGUUUAGAUGAACUUAAACGGGAAUUGCCAAGACAAGCUGACACGAUUGAUAGGUUCAUGAAAAUUCAGGAUAGAUGCUGAUUAAGAGUUACUUUAAUUGGGUUUUCUAUUAUUGUUGCACGACGGAGGGUUUUGUUUUAUCAACGGAUUUGACCCGAUAAACAAAACAAUCUGAUAAAAGACUAAAGAUAACCAGAUUGACCAGCAGAUCUUGAAGGGGUAACUGUCACUUUUGUUGGGUUGUUGAUUAAUCACCGCAUCCAAAUAACUAUAAGGCAAAAUUUUCACUGCAAGUAAGUUAUAUAAAAAUCCACCAUAGUUGCUUAAUGUUGAACGUUUCCUAUAAUAUUCCCAUAUGCAACUUAAACAUUGAUCGUUUGUUGUAUCUUGGCUCGAGCUUAAUAUUUUGUUACUAAUAUAGUAUACUGAAAGUAUGCUGAAAUGUUUUCC
rnacentral:lncRNA from 1 species